CACAUUUACAGCAAUCUGUGUGCUGGACAG
rnacentral:piRNA from 1 species